rnacentral:rRNA from 1 species
UACGGGGGGAGCAAACGUUGUUCGGAAUUACUGGGCGUAAAGGGCUCGUAGGUGGCCAACUAAGUCAGACGUGAAAUCCCUCAGCUUAACUGGGGAACUGCGUCUGAUACUGGAUGGCUUGAGUUUGGGAGAGGGAUGCGGAAUUCCAGGUGUAGCGGUGAAAUGCGUAGAUAUCUGGAGGAACACCGGUGGCGAAGGCGGCAUCCUGGACCGGCAUUGACGCUGAGGCGCGAAAGCCAGGGGAGCAAACGGG